GGAUAUCAUCUCAUCUACAUAUACUUUGCAGUGAAGGGGAAACGUGGGUUCGACUUUAACCAUCUUCCACUCUUCACAUAAUCUUCAAAUCUUCUUCCAGAAUCUUCUCAUAAUCUUCAAAUCUUCUUAAAAUCUUCCAGAAUCUUCCCCUUUUUACACAUUCAUCCAGAAUUUCCCUCUCUUCAUACAAUCUUGUAGAAUCAAAAUUUGUCAUUCAAACAUUUACUUAAUUUACUUUUUAUACUUUCUCCUCUCAAAGUACAACUUCUUGCCAAAUUAUACCGUUUUUCAAGUUUGAAAGAUAUCAAAUGUGAAUGCCAUGUGGUUUUAUCACAAAAUGGCGGCUAACUUGGUUUUCGAAGUACGAAUUGAUGCGAUAGUUGGGUUUUGUUUGGCACGGGGUGUAUCUAAUCCACAAGCAAAGUUUUAAUGAUAUUUAAAUUAAAAUAAGACUAUCAUUAUGGCCACUUAAAUCAAUCUUUUUCAAUUGGAAGGAUAUUAAACCCAUUUCAAUGAUCUCGACUAUCGUUAAUUUUAUUUUGUUACCCAAGUUCAUUGUUUUUGACGUUUAUAAUUCAAUUUUGGACCGCUAACAACCAUCUUUCUUGUAGAUUUACUGAAUAUUCAGCCUUGGCAAUCAUUGUCAAGAUUUUCCUUUUAAACCAUUUAAUGUUCUUUUUUUAAAGCCAUCAGUUUUACUGACUUUUUUCCUUCUAAAAAUAUUUAAAUUGUAAACCAGUAUUGACGAUCAUUUACCAGUUCGGCCUAUCACUCCAGUUAUGACAAUCUCUAAUUGUUUUGAACGAUCCUAUACCAAUUUGACGAUCACAACCUUGAAUGGACAUAUUUUGACCAACAUUUAAACGUGUUGACGAUAAUUACCUAGCCUGAACGAUCUCUACCCUGACAAACAACCCUAGUAGAUGCAUGUCAAUGGAAAAAAAAUAUCGUUGGACUGUAUAGAAUAUCUUAAAACAUAUUAAUAUAUUUUAUAUAUUCUGUAUAUUUUGAAAUUUAUUCUUGAUAAUUAGAUGAAAAUCUUUAAUGUUCUUACUCCAUCAAGUUAUUAAUAAACCCACCGAAAAAAUUAAUUCAUACCCUCAUAGCUUACUGGUUUAGGCAUCUACAUAUUUUUUCAAAAUGUUUUUUUUUACUCUGCUUAUUCAAAAACUU
rnacentral:lncRNA from 1 species